GCAACGCAGAGACGACCAAAUGCAUACGAAAGACUACCAGCGGAGAGUGACCUGUGCCAUAUUUCUCUUAACCUCUCAGGUAUUCAAGAAAUGGCAACAUCCAGAAGAAGACGCCAUCUUAUCCAGCACGUUAUGGGUACACUCUGGUGGCUCCCGCCCCUGCAUCCUACGACCACCGUGUCCUCACUAUGUUCACUAGGGAGUUCGAAGCCUUUGGCGGCUCCUGCCACUGCGUCCUGCCACCACCGUGUCCUGACUACGUCCACUAGGGAGUUGGCAGCCUUCGUGAUGAUGCCAAGCAGGCUGGAAGCUGACAGAAAGAUCGAGGUAAAUACAUGUAAUUAAGUGGCAAAUUUUUGAGUGAAGUGGCUUGUAGCCACUCAGCAAUGAAAGAAUUAACUUCGAAGCAGUUUAGACUCCCUGCUAUCGGUGCAGGAAUGCUCAAGUCCAUCCAUUUUGCCUUAGCCGCCAAGAGGCUAUGUGGAUUAGACGAAAUGCGAUGCAAAUUUUGAAACUAGUAGGAGACCACUUGUACAAUUUUUUUUCUUGCUUGACACAAAACUGCUUUGAUAAAGCUUUAGCAAUUUAAAAACAAUACAGUGUACUUUCAUACAUGUUAUUGGGCAUAAAUUUACUAGGACUGCCUCAAUAGUAAGUAUGCCGAUAAACUUACACCAAAACUGACUUUUUUUGCUAGUUCAUCCUCAUCUCUGUGCACUGCUGCAUAAUUUAUCUUCCUGAAACCAGUUUUUGCAUGCAGCACAAGUCCUAAAUAUGUGGAUUACAUAAAUUUGCAGCUUUUGCUGUAAGCGAGUUCUAUGAAAAUAAAGUUAAUAGGCCAUUUUGUCCAUUUUUAAUGACCCAUAAUAAACUGAGCAGUGGCUAAUAAGCAGUUCAAUUUUUGGUGUAAGGCCUCUCUUUAUUGUCCUGAAAAAUUUGGCCCCCUUAAUGAAGGAACCAAUUUUUUGGCUAUGCCUUUUAUGAUGCAUAGUUUGGUGCGUUACACAAGUAUUUCUUGAAAUUAACAUUUGUCCUAUAUUGAAGGGCCUCCAGUUUUUCGA